rnacentral:rRNA from 1 species
AACGAACGCUGGCGGCAUGCCUAACACAUGCCAGUCGAACGAGACCUUCGGGUCUAGUGGCGCACGGGUGCGUAACGCGUGGGAACCUGCCCUUAGGUUCGGAAUAACUCCCCGAAAGGGGUGCUAAUACCGGAUAAUGUCUUCGGACCAAAGAUUUAUCGCCUUUGGAUGGGCCCGCGUUGGAUUAGCUAGUUGGUAGGGUAAAAGCCUACCAAGGCGACGAUCCAUAGCUGGUCUGAGAGGAUGAUCAGCCACACUGGGACUGAGACACGGCCCAGACUCCUACGGGAGGCAGCAGUGGGGAAUAUUGGACAAUGGGCGAAAGCCUGAUCCAGCAAUGCCGCGUGAGUGAUGAAGGCCUUAGGGUUGUAAAGCUCUUUUACCCGGGAUGAUAAUGACAGUACCGGGAGAAUAAGCUCCGACUAACUCCGUG